ensembl:lncRNA
CAUUGUUUAUUCUCCUCCAUCUCCGGGGAGGACAGAAAUCAAAGUUUACAGUUUUUUUCUUGCGUGAACUCAAAACGCGAACAUGCCCAGCAAGAGGAAGAAGAACAAGCGCCGCAUGAGAAGGGUGCAGGCCCAGAGGAGAGUCCUUGAGGAGCAGCAUUCUACUGGCGCAGGCAAAGGAACCCCAGGAGUGGCUGCCGUGGCACCCCCCCUUGAAAUAUUAAAUUGUCCCCCCCUUCUCUCACCCCCUCCAGUAGUAAAGGUCCCAGUCGUAAAGCCCCCUGAAAUAUCCAAUUGUCACCCCCUUAUUCCCCCCACUAUAGUAGUAAAGGUCCCAUUCGUACAGCCACCGGCCCCAGUCAAAGUACCAGAUCCUGAGGCUGUGGUGACGGUGGUAGAGCCUGAAGUGGUAGCAGCUGAGGUUGAAGUUGAGGCCCCAGUCGAAGCUCCAGUGGAGGUUGAAGUCGAGGCCCCAGAAGAAGUUCCAGAAGAAGUCCCAGUCGAGGCCCCAGAAGAAGUCCCAGUCGAGGCCCCAGUCGAGGCCCCAGAAGAAGUCCCAGUCGAGGCCCCAGAAGAAGUCCCAGUCGAGGCCCCAGAAAAAGUCCCAGUCGAGGCCCCAGAAGAAGUCCCAGUCGAGGCCCCAGAAGAAGUCCCAGCCGAGACCCCAGAAGAAGUCCCAGUCGAGGCCCCAGAAGAAGUCCCAGUCGAGGCCCCAGAAGAAGUCCCAGUCGAGGCCCCAGAAGAAGUCCCAGUCGAGGCCCCAGAAGAAGUCCCAGUCGAGGCCCCAGAAGAAGUCCCAGUCGAGACCCCAGAAGAAGUCCCAGUCGAGGCUCCAGAAGAAGUCCCAGUUGAGGUCCCAGUCGUAGAAGCAGAAGCUCCUGUUGAGCCCCCUACAGAAGAAACUGCAGCAGGGCAGGAAGUUGAAGAAAGCAUCAUUCCAGAGACUGAGCCAGUAACUGAGGCCAUACCCAUUCCUGAGGCCCCUGUGUCAGCUCUUGCUGAAUUUGAGGUAACCCCCCCCCUGACCCCCCCCUCCAAUCAACUCACUGAACUCUGUUCCUCAACUCGCUGAACCAGUCAUGGAGCCCCCGGGCACCCCGAAAUUCUCCCACAAGUCAUCUGCUGUUGCUCAAACAUGGCUCUGGUUGAGCAGCAGGGUCUGAACAAAGAACAAGCCUGUCUACAGAGAGGUGUUCCUACAUGCAGCUAACAAAAAUACAUGGAAAUGUCUGCUCUAUCCAAAAUUACAACCAGCUUAUUGCAGAAUUACCGCAAAAAUGGAAGAGGUUCAGGACUGGCUGAAGAAGUGCAACAUUUACCUGGAGUUAACUCUGCAAAUAGCACUGCUGGGUGAUCUGAAAAGUUCAGGUCGCAAACUCCGUAGCGAUUACCACAGAGAUCGCACAGCAUGAGACUGUUAUGGCAGAGGCACCUGAAGAGGUUCCAGUGCAGACAGAAAUUAUCCCAGAAAAGCUGUGGAAGCCCGUGGAAGCACCGAUUGAAGAAGCCCCCGUAGCCAAGAUCGCUCCAGCAGAGCUCCUCGUAGAGGCCUCAGUAGACCCUGUCAUCAACACAAUGGCUGACUUUGCCAUCACAGAAUCUGUUCCCGUUGUGGAAGCAGCCAUGGCUGAGCAGGUGCCCGCAGUUUCAACGGAUUCACUUGACGCCCUAUCGGAGUUGCUGAACGACAUCACUCUAGUCACUGAGCCCGCCCCUGUCACAGCUGAUAAAGUCAUUGACGCUAAAGAGGAAAUUGGAGCCCAGAUGGAAAUCGAGGCUAAAAAGGAUGCCAUAGAUGAGAAGACGGUCCUUGACGUCAUCUCUGGAGAUUUAUCCACCCCCCACCCUGUUAUCUCAGAACUGCAGUGUCACACGCAGCUCGCCGCCCCCAAGGAAAUCCCAACAGAGGCAGUGCUGAAUGGACAGAUGGCAGCUGAGGUGGCCAUUGAGGGAUAGAUCUCUAUGGAUGUCCUCAGUCAGUAUGAAAGACUAAAGAGAGCCUGACAGUGAGCCGACCAGCGAACUUUACUUUUCAUUUUUUAGGGCUUAAAGGGACCGCUGGGAAAUUUGACAGACAUCCAACACUCAGUGCCUUUCUUGCUUGGGUUCUUACAAACAAAAUAUUAAACAAGUUUAAAAUGCGACAUGAAGGUGGGGGAAUAACACUUUUUUGUUGUUGAUCAGAAUGUGACAAUUUGGAAUAAACAAAUCAUGGCUUUCAUAGAUUUCUGUAUCCCAUUGCAUAUAUUGUGGAUUUGCCUCAAUUGUAAAUGGCAUGCAUUGUGUAUGAAUACUGUAGAAUUAAUGAAUGUGGCAAUGGCU